GUUUAAUGCCCUAUAAAAUUGGAACCACUUUUGCUUUCGGAUGCUCUCAGCCAACCUCUGGUGGCUUUUUUCAAACAUGCACAUAUAAUGUUUGCACGCAGCUUCAAACAUAUUUGCAGUAGCUGCUCAUGGAGGAUAUGUUUAUAAGAGUGACUUUCUUCCAGGUGGAAUCUGGCGUCUGUAUAUAUAUAUAUUGUACCUCUAGUGAUUACAUUAUCACGCCAGAGAAAUCUCUCACUGACUGAUGAACACAGUAACUACGAAAACCUCAACCUUUUCAAAUAGAUUUGGAAGAUGGGGGAAAUUUCGACAGUUUUUUGAAGAAAAAAGCUGGCGGGAAGAACUGGAACGUGCAGAAGCAGGAAAAUCAUAAACCGUUGUAGAGAAUAUGGACUUCUGAUGUUCUAGGUUCCCAGAUAAACUUUUCCAUGUGCUGUUUCCACUUCAUUUUUACAUCCUGGAGCUGGACCCAUUGAUGGGAAGAGAAGAGGAAUUAUAAACCAGAGGACUGAGGACACCAUGAGGAAUCAAUCAAUAAUUCACCAGAAAGAUGAAGAAGGUCAGUUUCGCCUAUCACCUUACCACCCAGAGAUGCCUGCGAUGUAGACGUCCGCACCUAGAUUUCCCAUCUUCGUGCUGAAUGUG